CCUACGGGGGGCAGCAGUAGGGAAUAUUUCUCAAUGGGGGAAACCCUGAAGCAGCAACGCCGCGUGUAGGAUUAAGGUUUUAGGAUUGUAACCUCCUUUUUUUAGAGAAGAUUAUGACGUUAUCUAACGAAUAAGCACCAGCUAACUCCGUGCCAGCAGCCGCUGUAAUACGGCGGGUGCUAGCGUUACUCGGAAUCACGGGGCGUAAAGAGUGCGUAGGCGGGGUACUAAGGCAGAUGUGAAAUCCUGGAGCUUAAAUACAGAACUGCAUUGGAACCUGUGAGUCUGGAGUGGGGGAGAGGUAGGUGGAAGUCUUGGUGUAGGGGUAAAAUGCGUAGAUAUCAAGAGGAAUACUCAGUGCGAAGGCGACCUGCUGGAACAUUACUGACGCUGAUGCACGAAAGCGUGGGGAGAAAACAGGAUUAGAUACCCGAGUAGUC
rnacentral:rRNA from 1 species